rnacentral:rRNA from 1 species
AACGAACGCUGGCGGCAUGCCUAACACAUGCAAGUCGAACGAUGGCUUCGGCCAUAGUGGCGCACGGGUGAGUAACGCGUGGGGAUCUGCCCAGCAGUGGGGAAUAACCUCGGGAAACUGAGGCUAAUACCGCAUACGCCCCUUGGAUGUAAGAGUCCUUGGGGGAAAGAUUUAUCGCUGUUGGAUGAACCCGCGUCGGAUUAGCUAGUUGGUGGGGUAAGAGCCCACCAAGGCGACGAUCCGUAGCUGGUCUGAGAGGAUGAUCAGCCACACUGGGACUGAGACACGGCCCAGACUCCUACGGGAGGCAG